GAAAGGUCAGGAUAUGAACGGGGAAGACAGAGAUUCAGAGCCGCUGGUGAUUGUGGUUUCAGGUUCAAGAAGCCUGCAUCUGACUUCAGGAAGCUCACGGAAGAGUCAACUUGGGCCUCGGGGAGCCAUGCAGCAAGACAGGAACAGACUAGAUUGGGCCAAGAGAGGACACACAGUUCCAAAGCUUGCCUGGGUUGCAGGAAGCAGCUGCUGUGAGCAAGCAUGCUGCAGACUAGGCCCUUUGCACACGGCAAUGACUUGCUCACAUCCAGGCACUGAGUUCUUGCUGCCUGUGGGAAGCCGGGCUCUUGUCUGUGGAGCUGGUGCAUCACAGGGUGAGUGCGCUGGCUGAGGCGAGGCACAUGAGCAUAAAUGGAGCAUGCGCGUGGCCACCAUCGCUAUGGAAAUCAUGACUCUGAAGGCUGAUGCCGCAUCUAAAUGAGCUGAAAUGAAAUGCAAAGAGCACGUCCAUCACAUAGGUUCACACUGCUUCGGGCUUGC